CAAAGCUUGUUUAUUUACGCAGGGUUGUAUGGCCAACACGGUAACCAAAAAUAAUUAACCCAGUUAAUAUUUGUCCGGACGAUGAGGCAAUAGUCUGAGGUGAUCUCGUGUCGCUAUGACCUGACAAAACACCCAGAGGGCAAACAGACAAAGUCCUAAAAGUUCCACGUUUUGCUGGGGUUACGGGAAAGCAAGGUGACGUUUCUUGUACGGGGGAAAAAAUGUGUCAGCGUGUUCCAUUUAGCAACCUUUCCACCAUGACACGCUCCCAUGAAGACUAUGUGUGAGGGAAUGCGUUUGUACCCUACACUUCCUGAAAGGCUCUGAUGUGCUGAAUGGCGGGAGGGGGUGUGGCUGCAUGGGAAGUCAUGUGAGUUAAUAAUACUUGAAUACUGCAUUUAAUAACAAAUAUCGGAAUUUAACCAUCAAAGACAAGGAAAGGCCAUGUCAAUCCGUACAAGAAAAAAAAUAUCUACAAAAGGGAUGACCACUGCCUCCCCACCCCUCCAGAAGUAAUUCAUAGCCAGGCCUCAAUUCCACUCACUUAGGCUGUACAGCCAACCGGAUAUCCUAGCCAACAGCCUUAUAGAUCCCCGACCUCAUUGUGCCAAGAGCCCUGGCCUUCUAGCCUUACCCUGUGUAUAUUAUUGUCUAAGUAGAUACAAGGUCGCUCUGAGACCUGAAACCCAACAGUGUGGUUGAUGGCAGGGUCAGUGGACCAGAGCAGGCAGCCAGCUGGGUUACAGUGGAUGGACAGUUGAGUAGAACAAAGACCACGAUCGAUGCCACCACUGCCAUAGAGACUGGUGUGACUCGGGCAAAAUGCAACUGGCCAGGUCUCCUUUCCAGGAACUGGUGAAUGCCGUCACUGGGGCGUCCCCAACCUGGACGCUACGAACCAAUAGGCUCCUUGGUUCCUGCUUCUGGGCGAGGUGGGUCAAUGGUAAGUACAUCAGGAACUGGCCGCCCAACAGGAUUCCGGACCUGCAGCCCAGGGACAGGGCCACCUGCACAACCAAGUCAGGAUGUUUCCUCAUGGCAGGUCUGGGGUCAGGCUGGACUUAUUUUUGAGCAACUCAGUUCGGGGUUCUCGCUGGCCGGAGAAUUUGGCCAGUGGCCGGCACUACACGAAGUCGUUGGAAUCCCCAACAAGAUGAUCCGAUGCCAUACCCAGCCUUUGUCUUUCCUGCUGCCGCUGACCAGUCUCUGUCCUUCCGCUGUAGAGCCUGCUGCUCAGCUCAGCCCCAGGAGAAGAGACAAAUCAGCAGGCUCUUCCAUUCUACCAAGUACAUCAGAGCUGGUCUCUCGGCCAGUCACCUGGCUUCCCUCGAGAUUCCUAUAUACAUAGGGAGCCUUUGGAUCACAGUCAUGGGUUCCUCCCAACUGUCCUCUGGCCUUACCUAGCUAGCGUCUGAGCCCCAACUCUGAGCCGGGACCCUUCAGCCUUGGCUGCACAGUGGAAACCCUGGGUUGAAGAUGGUCUAGCUUGGCCACACUCUGCUCACAGAGCCUGACCACAUGGCACACAGACUGCAGCUAUAGCCUGGCUCGGUUGCUCACUCCGACCUGACCACUGUCUGCUGCUGGGAGGUCCCUCUCCGGACCCUUUUUCCUCAUGUGCGUCUCAGUGUUUUCUCAUUCCUCACCUCAUCCUGGGCGGAACUGCUCUUACAACGGAGGAAACUCUACUGCUCUAAAGGCAAACAGUUUCUCUGAAGGCAUCCUAAUCAGAAGACUAGCUGCUGCUGGGGCUGUGUUCACCGGCUGCCCUCCCUCCUUCUCAGGCAUCCCAUGUUCCAAGAGACAGAGGCCUCAACUUACCUGUGCUGCCCAGAGGUAGUCCAGCCGUAGCCUGACGUCCACCUGCCUGGCGUGCAGGGCCAGCGUGCAUGAGAACAGCAGGAUAGCCAUGAUGGGCUCAUAGCUGCGCCCAGAGAGGGCACCGCCCCUGAAGAGGUGGAGGAGAAACCCCAUCAGUGGUGGCUUCCAGGCAAAACAUGGCCAUGGAAACCUAGGUCUGGGCAGAGGGCCAUCUUGGGACAGUGAGGCAGCUUGUAGGCCUGACCCCAGACCUGACUCUCAUCUCAGCCAGAAGGUAGAGGCUUUGCUGGAGUCUGAACUAAAGGAGAGAAACAGAAAAGCUGCCAACCUGACAAAAAAGUUGAUAUAUUUGGUUCUCACUGGCUUGCUAAUUGUUGCACAUGGCUGUGUGUGUGCACAUGGCUGUGUGUGUACACGUGCACACGUGCGUGAGUGCGCGAGUCUGUGUCUGUGUCUAUAUUCGUGUGUCUGUGUGAAAGAGAUAGAGAAGAAGGGAGAAAGCACUGUGGCUAUAGAGUUAAUAACUGAGGAAAUAACUACGAACAGCUAAUUAAUGCAAAUUAUCAGAGGAGGAUGAUAAUUAGCAUCGCCCUGUUUAGAGGGUUUUCCGAGGAGUGCCACACUCACCCAACCUUGGUGUAUCCACUGAGCUCCAGGACAAGGAUGUAGGAAGUCGUCAGCCCAGACAGCAGGAUCAUCUUUGGCAAGGAGGACACCCGCAGGAAUAUGGCUAGUGGGAGGGUGCCCACCAGGCAGCAGAGCAGGCCAUGGUGUGCAGACUCACAGGGCAGGGCAGGCAGCACAGUGCGCCGGCCACCAGCUGCGAGGACCACUAGGGAGCUGUUGGAGUGAGAGCUCCAGGCCCAAGGCAGACAGCUCACCUGGGAAACAAGGGCGUAAAGGUUUACGAGGACCAAGUAUGGCCAUCCCCAGAAUGUCCAAGUGUCCCAGGCUCACUGACCCCCUGGUAUUCUGCAGUUGCCACUCUCCUGCCUCAGACUGCCUUUGCUGCUGCACCCUACAAAGACCCCAGCUGUCUACAGUGAGGGCUGGGGGUGAGCAAGGGGAACCAGGUAGUGCUAGCCUGGUCUCCAAGGCUGACAACUUUAUCCCGUGUCACGGCUCCCCCUACUCCUCCCACCCCAGCUCUGUCUCCUAACUCCUGGCUUCUUCAGUCUGUUGCCCCUGCCCCUGUGCAUGUCAGAAGUCAGUGGUACUCACCACACAUCCUUGAGCUACUGAGUAGAUUAAGACCACGAUGAACACACACAGAGCGGUGCGGAUCUGGAUGGUCAGGCACCCUGGAAAACACUAAACGGAAAACACCUCACUUGAGGGUUAGGGGUUCAGCUCGGCAGCAGAGUCAUGGUCUAGCGUGUAGAAGGCUCUAGGUCGUAACCCCUGUAACAUGCGCUGGGGUCGGGAGAACAAGGAGGAAGGAAGGGGGAAAAAAGGGAGGCAGGGAGGGAGCUAACAAAGAUCCUGUGAUUAUGAAGUUCUUCUGUGCUCCCAGCAAGAUAUGCAAAUGAGGGAGGAUGUCAAGAGCCCCUUGCUGGCCCCUAGAGCAGUGGUUCUCAGCCUGUGGGUCUCUUAAGGGGAUCAAAAGACCCUUUCACAGGGGUCGCCUAAGACCAUCAGAAAACACAGAUAUUUACGUUGCCAUCCAAAACAGUAGCAAAAUUAUGGCUAUGAAGUAGAAAAGAAAAUAACUUUAUGGUUGGGGGUCACCACAGCAUGAGACUGUGUUGAAGGGUCUCAGCCUUAGAAAGGUUGAGAACCACUGGACUAGAGGCUUACUAGACCUUCAUCUUCUACGGAAAGGCCUUGUAUAUGUUUAUCUAUUUCCCACUGCCAAAAUAUAAAACAAAACAGAACAAACAAAAACUACACACACACACACACACACACACACACACACACACACACACACACACACACGUGUUUGAAUAAAGGAGUAACACCCAUCUUCCUUCCCAGGCACUGAGGCUUGGUAGGGUAGUGAGUAUUUUUACUAUACUGCAUUCUCUGACUCAGAAAUUCCAUACAUCCAUACCUUUCCUUUCCCUCCCCCUCCUUCCUCUCCUUCCCUCCCCUCAAUCUCUCUCUCUUUCUCCCCUCCCUUCCCCCUCUUCCCCAAUCUCUCUCGCUCUCUCUUUCUCCCUCUCCCUUCCCUUUCCCUUUCCCUCUCUCCCUCUGUCUCUCUCCCUUCUUCAUGUUCCGGAAGUUUAUCAUCCCAGACAGGUCUAACAUAGUUCUUAAGUUGUUGAAACGUCAUUUCUAAUCUCUUUACAUCAAAUACGGUCUGAAAUACUUAACAGGUGCUUUCCUGGGUAACACAGGAAGUUCUUCAUGCUAGCCAUCCCAAGAGCAUGAGUGUAGAUUGAAAUAUACACCCACAGCACCUGGUCAAGGCUGACUCCCCACGCAGGCAGCUAAUGGAUCUUCUGAAUGGCAUAGAGGGCAGAGCCCCCUGUCCUGGAUGCAUGGCAGGAGUCUGGCAGACAUAAAGCCGGAAUUGCUACCAUUUGUUGGCCACCUCGGGGAGGCUAGUAUUGCACAAACACUAAGGGGCAGUGCAAAAUGAACUCGUUGUCUGGCUUGAAGCAGCCCUGCGUUCUCCCUCUAACCACUCCCUGCCCUGUGCUCUGUGCUGGCUCUGUGAAUGUGCUCAACGAUAUAAGUAAAAGGGAAGUCAUCUUCAGGAACCGUGGCUAGUACAUCUGGCACCAUGGCCACUGUGGGAGAAAGCAGGUCUACACUGUCAAUGCCGCAGGUAGAUACGUCCCAACAGUUGUCUCUCAUCCCACCCCUGUAACUGGCCAUGUUAGAGUCUCUCCUGGUGGGCCUAACUUCCUGCCGGAUGACCUACCUGAUAUCUCCCAGCAUCUAUCUCACCAUCUGUUCCCAUAGCCUCUGCCAUAGCCUAGUCAGCCCUGAGAGGAAGCACAGAACCCCACACACGGCCUAGGGGACACCACUCAUCCUAUGCUGGCUUAGUUCAUCAGCCUGGAUCUGGUGCCUCCUUCUGGAAGCUGCCUCCUAGGUGUCAGCCAGCAUGAAUUCAGACACCAGAGAAGUCCACCCCCUGAAGCUUUGGGAGCUGCUACUUCAAAAACCACACAUUUAGGAAAUAUUCCCUGCUGCUUUGGGUGAGGCUGGGAGUGGAUAGCAGAGGGCAGCUGACUUUACUGCUAACGUCCAGGAGGUAUUCUGGUCUGAAUCCCCACCUGGGGGGACAGCUGUGUUUCCAAUAAAAGGCGUGGUCUCAGACAGGCCAUCACAAUUUGAUCGACUGGACUUGCACUUCACAGAUCCAGGGGGUGUUUUGACUUGCAUAUUAGUCCUAUGGGCGAGAUACUAGGUCACAAGGUGGGUGGUGUGACUCUGAUCAGGGGAUUGGGGUUCUCUGAUGGAUGAGAUGCUGGGUGGGGCUCCAGGGUCUCUGCAACCCUCGGCCAUGAUCUGGGCUUCCGCCCCCACCCCAUCUUCACACACCUUUUGCAUGUGUUGUGCUGCUUGCACACCAUCACGUACACACACACCGGCUCCCGUCCACUUGAAUAGGCUUUUAAAAUGGCCAUCUCUUGGCCACGCUCUCACUGAAAUUCUCCGACAAAGGCGAUGUUAUUUGAGGCGGUGGAUUUCAAACUAAACGUCACUCAACCUAUAGAAGCCAUCGAGCUGUAAAUAGGGUCCCAGUGUAGAGUAUCUUUCAAAUGAAGAAAAGGGGGCAGGAUGUACCCGGUAAUAAUGGUGGAGUUAAAUGAGCGAAGCUAGGCUAAACCCUCUCAAGAAGGUUGCAGUUUUUCACAGUUCUACCAAGGUAGAGCUGAGGACUGACAUCACCAGGCGGGAUGAUGUGCUGGAGAUGGGGCACUGCAAAAUAGGCUGAGCCUAUAAGAAGGCUGCUCCCAAAACAUUGCACAACGCCUAGUACACGGAGCUCAACCAGCACCUGCCUCAUGGGCAGAUAGCUUCUACUUGCCACCGAGAAUGAAGGGUGGAACCGCUUUGCCAUGAGACUACAAGGUCCACGGUCUCGCUCACAGGCUCACAUACCUGGACACCUGUAGAAGACACACAAACAUACCUGGACCCUCGUGAUGUGCAGGUACAGGGUACAGGCCACCAAGAAGCAGAUAGAAAACACCAGCAGCAGCAGGACAGCCACGCUCCUGGAGACGGAGAGUACACAGGUGGGGGUCAGGUAAGAUGAACCAGAUAGGUACCUCAGAACUGGGCCUCUCCUCCUGGCCCCCAUACCUAGAACCUCAGGAGGAAGCAUCCAAUAUCCAUUUGCCACGGGUCCCUGGGUAAUUACUUCACCUGGUUCUAUCCUCCUGAAGUCACAUGACGCCCCUAGGUGAGGUACCCAAGACCAUCACCAUUCUUACUACCUCACCUCAAAGUUUAGCCUUGACUGCAGGUGAGACCUUCCCUUCUAAUAGAGGAAGUGCCCAACUUCACAGAACUGUACUAUUGAUACCUGUCUAGGAAAGAUGUUUCUAGAAAACACCUAACCUAUAGGAAAAAAAAAUACCUAGUAGACUGCCAAGUUUACAGUUGUCUGUGUAGCCUACAGACAGGCUUCCUGUCCUUAGCAGGUAGAGAGAACUUCUGUGUGCCUUCUGGACACUUGAAGGAGACAUUAUGCCCUCAGGGUUGGUCACACUAGGAAACAUGUGCUGGAAGAAAAGGACAUUGGAGACAUCCCAUGUCUUCCUGGCCCCAAACAAACUCUGCAAACUUACACUGACUUAUAUGAUUCAAUUUCAUUUAAAUCGCUACAUUUCCUUCAUUUCAGAGUCAAUUUUUUUUUCUCAUGUGGAUGCUUUUAAAAGUGAUGUGGGCCCAGAAAGAAGAAAGGUCCUAUGCUCUCCCCUGAAGUCCCUCUGAGGACAACGGUGUAUGACAUGUAAUGGAGAAGCCAGAAACCACACAAAGUCUUAGAGUUCGGCAAAUUCAAAACUAAAAAGCAGUGAUCAUGUUAUAUGCCAACAGGCUUGUCAAGUUUCUAACGGGAGUGCAUGAAGAAGGAGGGCGGGUGGCCAGUGCUGUCCUCAAACGCUAGGCACAACAGGAGGGUAAUUGGGAAAUGGAUUCUGAGCAUAUUAGGACACCCAAGUCCAACCCCAGUGUUUGGUUCCAAAGUGAAAUGGGUUUGAACCCUUGGUCCUCAAACAGUGGCGUUCUUUGGGUAGGCUGUCAAACCUCUAGGAUGCGGAGCCGCAUGGGAGGAAGUGAGUCAUGGAGAAUGACCCCACUUCUAGAUCCAUUUUGAUGUGGGUGAACAGCCUCAGGCUCCCACCACCAGAGCUGAAAGUCUCUCCUGUCGCCACGCUUCUCCUGCCACGAUGAACUGUAGCUUCAAAUUGUGAGCCCAAAUCAACUCUUUGUUCCUUCAACUGUUUCCUAUCAGCUAUUCAGUCACAAGUACAAGUAAAACAACCAGUACCCCAAGAGACCUGGGGUUCUCAGUCACCUUUGCAUGUCACUGAUUAGCACAGGGACAGCAGCACUUACUGUGGGAUUACCAGAAGGUAGAUAAGCCCAAAUAAGGUAGCCAGGAUGAGGGCGAGGACAACGGCGCUGGUGAAGUACUCAUCUUGAAGCUGGUGGUACUGUGGAGGAAGGAGGGAAGAGCGGGUUAAGAGAGCGCAGAAUGGGGACAGAGAGAAAGAGAGAGAACCAAACAUUAAUCUGCCCAUCAGAAGACCAACAGAGCCUCGGGGACAAGGACGAAGUCCCCAAGUCACUUACUUUUUGUUCCCGUUCAACAUGCUUGUACUUGAGGGUAAAGAAGUUCAGGUCGGCCAUCUCCAGCUCUGUCUGGCGGGCUUCAAGAAGGCGGCUGAUGUACCUGUUGACACGCGUACCCGGAGUGGUGUAGACCACGUUGGUAGAGAAUGACGAACGGUUUCUGAGCUUCUCCGAGGCCGUUCUCAAUGCCCUUCGCUGCAGCCACCGCGGAAACAGAGAGAAGACUAUCAAAUGUGUCUUCAGCUUUUGAACAAAAGCACUCAUGUGCACCGCCAUCCGCCAUCCUGAUCUGCUAUUCAGAACCCUGAGAGGAUGUCAUAGCCCUGCCCCCUGCUGGCCGGAGAUGGCACAGGGGGUAUCCUACCACCCAGUACUCAGGUCCCCAGGUCUGUACUGCAGAUUACAGAAUGUCUGUUUGCUAUUAGUGUGGAAAGGGCUACAGAGGGAUACAGGAACGAAUGUGGCCAGGAGGAGCAGCCACCCUCACCUUCUAGCCACAUGUGUGGGAAGGGAUAUUGGGACAAGCCCACCUAUGCAAGAAGUUUGCUGCAAGGGCAGGUGGUCUCUGCCAUUGAUGGAGGAAUGGUAGGAAGUGACAGGUAGCCAGGGCCGAAAGGACCAGAGUGUGAACACCUCUUCCAUGCGUCCCGCCGCAGGUGUAGGAAUGUUCCAGCUUGUGGAAAAGAAAAACAGAGUCUGGUCCGAAGAUACCUGUGUGGUCUCACCCUGAGGGACUCAGCAGGAACUCUGAUGCUUCAAUACCUCGGCAGAAGACAGACUACCAAGGUAACCCAGUGCAGCAGCAGAGAGGACACAGCGAGCAAACUUCCCCUCCACGCUCCAACCAAACAGGGAAACACAGACGACGGACGCACAUAAACACAGCACUAUGAGGGUGGAAAGGGAGAGCAGGCUUUCAGAACACUGGGCCUCAAAGAGAACCAUGUGUGACAAGGGGGCCCUGUGGGGUAUCUUUUGUCAUAUCUAUCUCAGGCCAGGAGCUAGAGGAGACCACAGCCAGAAAGGUUUAGUGGGUGCAGGCCAUAAAAGAAACUGUUAAGGUCCACGAGAAGAGCCACGGACUCUGGCCAAACGAUCAAGAAUGGGAGAGCAGGAAAGGGCAAAUGGCCACACAACUGCAGGCAAAGCCCACGUGAAGGUCUGCAAGUUCCAAUUACACCAAACAGCCUGCUUUCUGAACUUGCAUCACAAAAUGGCACUCUGUCGCAUUGCGUUAGGUCCAAGGACACUAGGUACCCAGGGAUACUGGAGGCGGAAACCCCUUGGCGGAUCACCUUGAUCCACAAUCAGAAGUAUUUCCUAAAAUACGACAUCUAGUUCUUGCUCAAAGAAAAUAACAGCGUAAACAUUAACCUACAGAGAUCACUUCCUAGCCUAGUGCUCAUAGCUCAAAGCCUCAGAAUGGAUGGUAAAAUCCUAUAUAUCUUAAAAGAGUGAGAAUGAGGAAGAAUGACCUUGCUUAAUGCUAUCGUCUAGCUUAAUUAUAAAAUGGGAAAGAGACACAGCAGCACUGUUUAAAGUACAGAUUAUCAAUGACCAAGAAAGCCCAAGGUAACUUGAAAAGUCACUGCAGUCAGUAGUGAGACCAGCCAUUAUCUUCGGCAAACAAACUCGAAUAUGAUAGCCAUCUGUCGCCAUUUCUAAACAAAAAAAGCUCGGGAGACGGCCCAGAUAACGUUCGAUCAGGACUGGUAACAAGGAAGAAAACACACACUAUCCAGCACUUGGCAACACUCCAAGCUUGCUAAGUCAGACCCUGCAGAGGCAAAAGGCAGGGUUUAUACACACCAUGGACAGAGCAAGACGUUUGAGGGAGCCCAUGUUGGCAGAGCACUCCAAGAUCAAAGCAUUUACCAUUUAUUAGCCCAGGAGUCUCACCACAACCCCCGGCUACCCGCAUGCUGUUCAGUUAAGAUGACCAUGAAAACAGAUGUGCCCAGCGUCCACAAGCAUGAUGGUCCCUAGAAAGGAAGUCCCUGUUUGCCGAUAAGCUGCUUGGGAAGUCAGGCCUGAGCCUAGGCCUGAAGGCCAUUCAGCCAGGAAGAAAAGGCUUGGAUCUGUGUGGGCCACCAAAGGCCCAAGGGCGUUCCAGGGCAGAAAAGGCUCGGUGCAUGGUUACCACCGGCUUUGCACAUGAGCUGAUUUCCAGAAGGAAACAGAAGAGGAGAAGCAAGCCCAAAGGCUUGAUUUCUCUAUCAUACACACGAGUGGCUUAAAUCGAUAAGCUUAGAUUUAAAGCUAUACAAAACAGAGAGAGAGAGAGAGAGAGAGAGAGAGAGAGAGAGAGAGGGGGGGGGGAGGAAAUUUCUGGGUGUAGAAAACAGGGGAACAAAUAUGUCUCAAAUAUCAGAAAGCAACCAUAAAGAAGGCCCCAUGCCAACUGUGCCCCUCAGCAGGUACCACUGGAGAUGACGUUAUAAUCUCUGACCAGUGGCCCAUCCACGUGAGCAGAGCCAAGACAUGCCAGACACUCUUUGCAGAACUCCCAGGAAUUAAAACGCACUUUCAUGAACAAAAGUGCCAUGGCCCGCUUCGGUUCAUAAGAACAGAAAAGCCCCAGAUAUCAAUGCCAUAUAAGACAUCUCUCCUUAGGUUAGAAGUCUAUGCAAAGUCCGAAAACUCAAACUGAGGGAGAGCCAAUGACACAGGGGCACCUGUAUGAUACACAGAGGCAAGAGGAGGACAAACGGCCAGCCAAACUGCUUCUACAACACAUUGGAGUUCCUUAAAGCAACUCCAGUCCCCACAGAUAGGACACUGGAGGGUCACAGUACCAGGCCUUUAUCUGGUAGGGGGAUGGUGGUAGAUGACAAAUGUUUUUCCUUUGCUUUUCUGGUGCGCUUUUUUUUUUUUUUUUUUUUUUUUUUGUAUUUUGCAACAAAUAUCUUCUUGGGAAAGAAAGUAUCCAAAAGCCAAAUAGAAAGAUAGUAAAUGUGUUUGGGGGCAUCCAGGAGGUACUAACAACAGUGGCUGCCAGGGCUGCAGCAGAAACUGUUAAGCUGGUGGAAGAGAUACUACACAGGGGGCUCAUUAUUAAAAUUAUCUAUAAAUUUAUUCAUUCAAUUAUUAAAAGGACAUUAUUCAGUGACAGGAUUCACUGAAGACCUUGCAGAAGGCGCAGGGAUCAUGCAAACAGGUCCUUCGAUUUAACUCAGUGUGGCACAGCCACUGGAGAUAUACAGUCAAGGAGAAAGGAGGUCUCUGGACAGAGAGCUAUUCCAGAUAGACGUCAGAAGACAGAAGCGUUCUGAGUAAGUGAGCAGGAUUCCUGCUAAGAUUGCACACAUCUCUACGACAGGGUAUGAGAUGAGGAACCUGGCAGACUCUGAAGCCGAUGAGAGGCUAAGGAAGGGAAGACUCUUGCUAAAGCAAUGAACACCGGAUAUCCUGACAACACCGUGUGUGUGUGUGUGUGUGUGUGUGUGUGUGUGUGUGUGUGUGUGUGUGUGUGUGUUGGGGGGGGUGUCUGUACAUGUCUGUGUGAAUGUCUGCUGUCUGUAUGACUAGGACUAAAAUUCCUAUCUGUGACAGAAGCCAAGUUCUUAAUAAUGCAGCCUCCAGCUGCCUGGCACACAGAGAGACUCAUUUUUCCUGACCCGAUCCACCAUGAACAACGUCCUCAGAAUAUUCUCAGAUAAAGUUCUAGCAAAGAGGAACUCCCAUACAGAGAUCCUGCGGCAAGGAACCACCAUAAUCAAGAGGCAACAGAACCUUGCUUUGUCCUGAAAGAAACCUCUAACGAUACCAGGAAGAUUCUUUAAGUGGUAUAAAAAUCGGUGAUGUCAGAGAAAGCAGUGAUAGGAAAGGCAGCAGGGUUGACACCAGGUAAAGCCAGUGUAACCUCAGAGGGGUGGACAGAGAAGCCAUGGGGAGUCAGGCAACUUCAGUCUCACAUACUAGUGGGUUCAGUGGCUGUAGUCAAGAGCAUCCACAAGGGGGCAUCAGAGCCCUAAAGUGCACCCCAUGCUCUUUGGUAUGGAAAAUAAUGUGGGGCCUUUCCCAAAAAGGGAAAUCCAAGUCUCUGGCCAUGUGUGGUUGAAGUGAAGUCCUAGACACCACCACUGCCACAUGCCUAGAAGAUCUGAAGACCCACAAGUGACUGCCUGACUCAUCUGAGACGGAAAACCCUGAUGUCCACCAGAAACCCCCAUUGGAGACCCUGAUGUCCACCAGAAAGCUCACAGUGGAGCCUUGUGCCUGGCUUAGCCCUUGCAGCUGGCUUUGCCAUCCCUCAGCAUCAGGAACAUUGCAGAAAAGGCUCUGGGCGUCUGUGGGAUUACAGAUGAUGACAGAUAAGCUAAAGAGGAAAGCAAAAGCAAGCUGCUCGGAGAGAACAGAUGUUUCUGGGGGCAAGAAACUAUUUCUUUUAAAAAAAAUCUCAGUGAGAGGGCAGAGGAGAAGGCUCAGUGGCUGAAGCCAUGUAAAGCAAGAGUAAGGACAGGAACGCAGUUCCCAUGACCCAAGUCAAAGCCAGGGGGAAUGGUAGCCAGGCAGAGACAGCUGGUUCUUUGAGUCAGCUGAUUGGUUAGACCGUCAGUCUGGGUGAGCUCUGGGUUCCAUUAGAAGACCCUGCCUCGAAGAAUAACGUGAAGAAUAGUUAAGGAAGAUACCCAACAUCGACAUUCAGCCUCUGUGUGCACAUGACAUGUCCACAUGGGCACUUCUCCCAACAUGCACACACGCACACAUACAUACACACACACAUACACACACACACACACACACACACACAUACACACACAUACACACACACAUACACACACACACACACUCAAAAUAAAAUAAAAAUCUUGGGCUAGUGAGAUGGGUCAGUAGGGUAAGGCAUCUGGCACCAGGUUUGAUGACGGAGUUGGGGUCCUGGAACCCACAGAGUAGAAAGAGAAAAACCAACUCGUGCAAGCUGUCUUCCGACUUCCACGAGCAUCCCACGGAACGCAGGCAAGCGCGUGCAUGCUUACCCACAAAUAUAAAGUUAAAAAUAUUUCAGUGGGCAGACAAAACUGGGGCUAGUCUGACAUAUUUAUGAAUCCCUGGGUUCAAGCCCCUGCAUGGAAUAAACCAGACGUGAUGGUGCACAUCUGUAAUCCCCACGUUUGGGAGGUAGGGUAGGAGAACCAGAAGUUCAAGGUCCAUCCUCAGCUACGAAGUGAGUGUCCAGGCCAGCCUGUGGUUUCUGUCACGGACUACAACUUCAUAAGGGAAUUAUUCACAAAGACACAGACUUCCUGGGAUUUUUAAGAAUUUUGAAAUGUUCCAUAGAAACGUUGGGACAGGAAAGCUGAAAAACCUUUCCAGAAAAUAGAAGGAAAGGGGUGGUGAUAUGGGAGGAGAUCUUGAGCCAUCUUGAGAACUUCAACAUCCACAUAACAGGCCCUCCAGGAAAAAUAAAAGAAGAAAGCGGGGAACGUGAGCUUGGAGCUGGAUAAACACAAAGUACAAAGCACUAUACGGAUGUGUGCAGCAGUGGCAGCAGCAGCAGCAAGGAGUGUUAUAGCUCGAACGCGCCUCAGGCUUUCCUACCUUGUCAUCAUCCUCACAGGUCAUUACGUUGGAGAAGGGGAUCUCAGCCUUGAACAUUUUCCGGCAAUGCAUGAGCUGCACCAGCAGGUAGCAGACGGUCUUGAACUUCAUCCUCUUGGCUGGUUUGAUAUCCGAGAGAAUCAAACCUGGAAAUAUCUACCCAAACACAAGCACAGGGGAAAACACUGUCAGUGAGGCAGAUCUUGACCCUCAGGCUAGAAAUACAGCCUUAAUGGUGACAGGAACUCCAGGAUACUAAAAUUAGGUUGCUUGGUACCUCCUGCAUGCCAGGAAUCCGGGAAUGGACCAGGUACCCGGCCAUGAAGACUCCAAACUAGUGAAAUCCACUGGGGCUCGGAGUAAAUGUCACCUCAAAGCUCCCUUGUCCCAGCAUGCUUUGUUCUACACACAACAGAAGCCAGAAGACUAGGUAGGUGACAGCGGCAAGCCUCUGCCUAACAGACUGCCAUGGGCCCUCAUCUGUACCACAGAGAACUGUCUGCUCACCCCAUGACUUUCUCAAGACCAAAUGAGCAAAUAUGGAAAGGAAAGGCCCAGGGAUCAGGCUCUCUUGCACUUGCUGGGUAUCCAUCAUCCAACAGUGAGCCCAAGGCUGCCUCCUCCACAGGAGUUCUGAACCCAGGUCUUCUCCAAGACGCAGGUAAAGUGUCCACAGCCUCACUUUCAGCUGCCCCUGCCUCAACAAUCCAACUACUUCUUACAGUUCAAUCCACCGGCCUCUACAGGUACAGCCAUAAUUUCACCACAGAAGCACCCCUCUUCUUUGACAUUCUCUUUCUUCCCUCUCACCACCUGGCAACUCCAAGUCCAACAGAGAUAUUCUUUUGACCUCUUCCCUCUCUAUGUCUGUCUCUCUCAGUCUCUCAGUCAGCCUCUCUCUCUCUCUCUCCCUCUCUCUCUCUCUCUCUCUCUCUCUCUCUCUCUCUCUCUCUCUCUCUCUCUCUCUUCCACAAGU